UUCCGUAGGUGAACCUGCGGAAGGGUCAUUACAGAGCGUGAGACUCUGCCCGGGCUCGCCCCGCGUGCAGAGUUGACCCUCCACCCGUGUGAACUUAUGUCUUGUUGCUUUGGUGGGCCCGGCUCUUGGGCCGGCCUGCGUCUCGCGGGAUCGCGUCCGCCAAAGCCCCCCCUAACUCAUGUUGUCGUGUCGCUGAGGAAACGAAAGAGAAAUUGAAUCGUUAAAACUUUCAACAACGGAUCUCUUGGCUCUGGCAUCGAUGAAGAACGCAGCGAAAUGCGAUAAGUAAUGUGAAUUGCAGAAUUUAGUGAAUCAUCGAAUCUUUGAACGCACAUUGCGCCCCUUGGUAUUCCGAGGGGCAUGCCUGUUCGAGCGUCGUCACACCCCCUCAAGCCGCACCAUGUGCGUGGUUUGGUGUUGGGGCUCGCCGGUCCAGCGGCCCUUAAAGACAGUGGCGGUGUCGGUGUGGACUCUACGCGUAGUACAUUUCUCGCGACAGAGCCGCAGCGCACGCUGGCCAACAACUCCUUUUCUCAAAGGUUGACCUCGAAUCACGUAGGGAUACCCGCUGAACUU
rnacentral:sRNA from 1 species